rnacentral:lncRNA from 1 species
AUGAAGAAGAAACCAAACGCUCUUUUUUUUUUUUUUUUUUUUUUUUCCCUUUCCUUUCUCCCCACCCCUUUCAAUCGGAAGAAAGAAAUCCCAAGGUCUGCAAAGACAUGCGGCUUCGGCACCACAAGCCCCGCGACACUGCCUGGAACCGUCUCCAACGCCUGGGGUCCCCGCUGCUCGGGUUCGGCGGGAUUCUGGGGAUUUUGGCCCAGACUGUCGCUUUCCGCUGGAUCUUGGUUCCCGCCUGCCCACGUGUGGAUUAGAGAACAAGCGGCCCCUCUCCCUCCCCAGCCCCAUCCCAGCUCCAAACCUGGAGGCUGACUGGGGGAAGCGGCUUUUUCUAGGGCAUAUUCUAAAAAGACUAAUGCUACAUCCCUUGGGCAGGGGGCCCUGAAUCAAAGGGUUAGGGGCUCGGAGUUGUGAGCCCUCUCCCCUCUACCGACUCCAAGAGCAAGAGGGGAUCAAUAGGGCCGGUAGGGAGAUCCGAGGCCAAGGCUGCUCAAGGUUUAUUUGGUUUUCUUUUCGGCCAAGGGAGGGGGCGGCCAGGAGAGGCGCCGUCCCCGGCAGUUCCACUCGGUUGUCAAAAGACAAACUGGGUCUGUGUUCUCCGGGUUGGCUGGUGAGUCUUGCCAGUUCCUUGGCUGGUUGAAUCUGUCAUGAAGGAAUUGAGCCGAGUUUUCUGGAAACUGUUGGUGUCUGCAAGUGAGUGUGGGUCCCCUUCCCUGUUUUCCAAUCAUUUCAAGUGAAAUCGACGCAAAUACACUUGGGAAAAAAAAAAAUGAGGAGUGGGAAUGGGGAUCAAUCAUUAAGGAACCAAACCAUUGUAACUUGCCUUCCUUCGGGACCCCUCACACCCGCUUAAGCUGACCGUUUUCCCAGAAGGGGGUGGCUGGCGAGGGCGGGAGGGGGGAUCUGCGCCGCUGCCGCCGUUUGAAUAUUGGCCCCUGUCUCACGGGUUACUGAUUAGCUCGGGCUUUCAAGCCGCAGGAGGAAGCUCUGGCUGCUCCUUUCAAGGUGCUGUGGCCCCAGUUCCUGGGCGGGGGCUCCAGGAAAUUGCCUGUGGUGCCAAGCAGGCCGAGGUGUUACCAGGGUCUGGCCAGGAGCUGAAGGGGCUGCCGAGGUGGAGGGGCCCAGCGGUACUGGGGGCAAACUCAGGGGCUGCGACCCCUGAGCCUUGGUGCCUCUGGGAAUCUGGACCCCAGGAGCAGUCCUUUCAGCUUUUCGGCAGAGAGUGACUUUCUGGCGGCUGGAAGGCCCGGCCAGUGCGGGAGGCCCCAAGGGAUCGAGCUCUGCAAGGCUCCUCAGAGAUUUUUUCUCUUGU